rnacentral:rRNA from 1 species
GUGUCAGCCGCCGCGGUAAUACGUAGGUGGCAAGCGUUGUCCGGAUUUAUUGGGCGUAAAGGGAGCGCAGGCGGUCUUUUAAGUCUGAAUGUGAAAGCCCUCAGCUUAACUGAGGAAGUGCAUCGGAAACUGAGAGACUUGAGUGCAGAAGAGGAGAGUGGAACUCCAUGUGUAGCGGUGAAAUGCGUAGAUAUAUGGAAGAACACCAGUGGCGAAGGCGGCUCUCUGGUCUGUAACUGACGCUGAGGUUCGAAAGCAUGGGUAGCGAACAGGAUUAGAUACCCUGGUAGUCCAUGCCGUAAACGAUGAGUGCUAAGUGUUGGGAGGUUUCCGCCUCUCAGUGCUGCAGCUAACGCAUUAAGCACUCCGCCUGGGGAGUACGACCGCAAGGUUAAAACUUAAAUAAAUUGACGG